GGUGUUCAGCUCUGGAGGUUUGGUGAGCUUCAGGUGGAUUUGGUUUUUAUUUAUUUAUUUAUUUAUUUAUUUAUUUAUUUAUUUAUUUUAAUGCUCCACAGCUUGCUUUCUAUUUGGUAUUACAACACAACUACCCGAUGGCUGCAUCUCUAGAGAUGACAAAUGGUUCAGCUUUCAGCUUUCACUUUUAGCACUAGGUACUGAAAAUCUUCAUCUCCUGUAGUGUAUUCUCAUCCUUUGCCACACAGACACAUGGAUUCCACUGGAUGAAAAUCAACUGGGAGUGCUGGUUCAUGCCUACGAUCUCAGCACUCAGGAAGUUGAAGUAGAAAGACUGCCACGGGUUCAAGGCUACCUUGAACUACACUGUGAAUCCUAAACCAGCAUGAAGUACUGAGUGAGAUCCUGCCUCAAACAGGGGCGAGGGGAAGGAGACAUGGGGCUCACAACCAUCUGUAAUGGAAUCUGACGCCCUCUUCUGGGGUGUCUGAAGACAGCUGCAGGGUACUCACAUAUAUAAAAUAAAUAAAUCUUAAGAAAAAGACACUUCUCAGGAGAAAAUAUAUAAAAGACCAACAGAUAAAUGAAAGAAAAAUAUUCAGUGACAUUAAUGGGCAUAAUGCAAAUCAAAAUCACAAAAAGAUAGCAUCUACUUUAGCUAUUUUAUAACUGCUAAGUGAGUGCUUGCAAAAGCAGAAAGGAGACCUUUGCAAACUCUUGGUGGGAAAGUAAAUUAGUAUACAGAACAAAAAGUAUUGAGGUUCCCCAACAACUACUGUAUGAUCCAGCCUUUUCACUAUUAGCUAUACACUAAAAGGAAAUGAUGUCAGAAUGCCGAGAGUCAUCUGCAUACCCUUGUCAUCUCAAAACUAAGAAAUGAAAGCAAACUAAAUAUCUAAACAAAAUGCAGGCAGAAAGACUCAACCUAUAUGUAGACAAGAACCACUCCAUGGGCUGGGAUCCC
rnacentral:lncRNA from 1 species